AGAGGCUACUGCUAUCGGAGUCCGACUAAGCCAUGCGAGUCGUGGGUGCCCUCUUCGGAGGAGUAACCCGGCGGACGGCUCAGUAACACGUGGAUAACCUGCCCUUGGGACCGGGAUAACCCCGGGAAACUGGGGAUAAUACCGGAUAGGCCACCGAUGCUGGAAUGCACGGUGGCUCAAAGCUACGGCGCCCAAGGAUGGGUCUGCGGCCGAUUAGGCUGUUGCCGGGGUAACGUCCCGGCAAACCUGUGAUCGGUACGGGUUGUGAGAGCAAGAGCCCGGAGAUGGAUUCUGAGACACGAAUCCAGGCCCUACGGGGCGCAGCAGGCGCGAAACCUUUACAAUGCACGCAAGUGUGAUAAGGGGACUCCGAGUGUCGGCACCUGUGUCGACUGUCCGGAUACCUAAAAAGUAUCCGAUAGC
rnacentral:rRNA from 1 species